rnacentral:rRNA from 1 species
GACGAACGCUGGCGGCGUGCCUAACACACGCAAGUCGAGCGAUGAAACCCUUCGGGGUGGAUUAGCGGCGGACGGGUGAGUAACACGUGGGUAACCUGCCUCAAAGAGGGGGAUAGCCUCCCGAAAGGGAGAUUAAUACCGCAUAACAUUAGUUUUUCGCAUGAAGGACUAAUUAAAGGAGUAAUCCGCUUUGAGAUGGACCCGCGGCGCAUUAGCUAGUUGGUGAGGUAAAGGCUCACCAAGGCGACGAUGCGUAGCCGACCUGAGAGGGUGAUCGGCCACAUUGGAACUGAGACACGGUACAGACUCCUACGGGAGGCAGCAGUGGGGAAUAUUGCACAAUGGGCGAAAGCCUGAUGCAGCAACGCUGCGUGAGUGAUGAAGGCCUUCGGGUUGUAAAGCUCUGUCUUUUGGGACGAUAAUGACGGUACCAAAGGAGGAAGCCACGGCUAACUACGUGCCAGCCGCCGCAGUAAAAC